rnacentral:rRNA from 1 species
GGCCUAACACAUGCAAGUCGAACGGUAACAGGAAGAAGCUUGCUCUUGCUGACGAGUGGCGGACGGGUGAGUAAUGUCUGGGAAACUGCCUGAUGAGGGGGAUAACUACUGGAAACGGUAGCUAAUACCGCAUAACGUCGCAAGACCAAAGAGGGGGACCUUCGGGCCUCUUGCCAUCGGAUGUGCCCAGAUGGGAUUAGCUAGUAGGUGGGGUAACGGCUCACCUAGGCGACGAUCCCUAGCUGGUCUGAGAGGAUGACCAGCCACACUGGAACUGAGACACGGUCCAGACUCCUACGGGAGGCAGCAGUGGGGAAUAUUGCACAAUGGGCGCAAGCCUGAUGCAGCCAUGCCCGCGUGUAUGAAGAAGGCCUUCGGGUUGUAAAGUACUUUCAGCGGGGAGGAAGGGAGUAAAGUUAAUACCUUUGCUCAUUGACGUUACCCGCAGAAGAAGCACCGGCUAACUCCGUGCCAGCCGCCGC